rnacentral:ncRNA from 1 species
AAAAGACUUAGUCCUAACCUUACUGUUGGUUGUUGCUAGCUAUAUACAUGCAAGUAUCCGCGCUCCAGUGCAGUAAGCCCUGGACACCCCCACCCGGGUCGAUAGGAGCGGGCAUCAGGCUCACCCUAAUUGUAGCCCAAGACGCCUUGCAAUUGCCACACCCCCACGGGUCAUCAGCAGUAAUUAAUAUUAAGCAAUGAGUGUAAACUUGACUUAGGCAUAGCAAUAUAGGGUCGGUCAAUCCUGUGCCAGCCACCGCGGUCAUACAGGAGACCCAAAUUAACAUUAUAACGGCGUAAAGCGUGGUCCCAUGUUAUCCAAGUAACUAAGAUUAAAAAGCCUCUAAGCUGUCGUAAGCCCAAGAUGCUCAUAAGGCCUCUUAUCAAAGGAAAUCUUAGACUAACGAUGAAUUGAACUCCACGAAAGCCAGGGCCCAAACUGGGAUUAGAUACCCCACUAUGCCUGGCCCUAAAUCUUGAUGCUUGAUCUUACCGGAGCAUCCGCCCGAGAACUACGAGCCCAAACGCUUAAAACUCUAAGGACUUGGCGGUGUUCCAAACCCACCUAGAGGAGCCUGUUCUGUAAUCGAUGAUCCACGAUAUUACCUGACCAUUCCUUGCAAGUUCAGCCUAUAUACCGCCGUCUCCAGCCCACCCAACCUGAAGGCCCAACAGUGGACGCAAUAGCCACACCGCGCUAAUAAGACAGGUCAAGGUAUAGCCUAUGGAAUGGAAGCAAUGGGCUACAUUUUCUAAGUUAGAACAUACGGCAAAGGGACAUGAAACCGGUCCCUGGAAGGCGGAUUUAGCAGUAAAGUGGGACAACUGAGCCCUCUUUAAGCCGGCCCUGGAACAUGUACAUACCGCCCGUCACCCUCCUCGCAGGCGACUAAUCAACCCCAUACAUUAAUAAGCUAUCUAGCUCAAGAGGAGGUAAGUCGUAACAAGGUAAGCGUACCGGAAGGUGUGCUUAGACUACC